CUCAAUCAGCAUGGAGGUGGGCAUUGUCAUGCGUCGGCGAGGAGCCUUGGGAGAUCAGCUCGGCGCCCUCGGGCCAUGGCUGCACCGUCGGAGAUGUGGUGUUCGCAUGGAGAAGACCAAGAUGCCACCUCUGGUUUCCAGCGCGAGCGUCACCAGUAGACAUGGAAUUACCUUUAACCCAGGACUUCCUUUGUCAGAUGUAAUAGUGCAAAACAAUUAACCUUUCAGUGUAAGAGGACAUAACCCAUAUUUAACCAUUUGAUUUUCUCCUAUAAGUGAACAAAAGGAUGUAUGUCAGUGUACUUGAAAAUAGAUCAAUUUGGUAACAAGACACCACGAAUUUGUAGUACUGCCCAACACUGAUAACACCCUAAUAUUUAAAAUAAUUUUGGAUGGCAGGUGGACGAGACAAACUUUGUUGGCCUAUGAGUGAAAACAAAUAGUGUUUGCCUUAUUAAUGUUUUAAGUAAAAGAAUAAUUAACCGAGGCAUGAAUCUUGAGAAGAUUACCGAGGCUAAAUUGAGCGGCACACCAUCGAGAUGCACGAUGGGACGACAAGCU
rnacentral:lncRNA from 1 species